GGGGGCGACCUGGCUUCGACGUGGAUCGCAAAACCUGAGGGGCAUGUCGAGGUGCAGAGCCCUCGUUAAUCACCCUGCAAAAAUUAUAGUUGCCAACGACGACAACUUCGCACUCGCUGCUUAAUACCCAGUAGGGUGCCGUCUGGCUGGAGCCGUGCUUGUGCGUUCAGAGUUCAGGCGUCAUACUCACAAGAUCGCAGGAAGGUAGCCUAGGGCUAACCUGCUAAACCUUUACUAGGAUCGCUAGCUAUUUCCUUGCCCAUCGGGCUGUAGUCUAGUUAAAUUUAAAGAUUGGGAUAAGCAUGUAGAACCAAAGGCGGAGGAUUUACGGACGCGGGUUCAAUUCCCGCCGCCUCCACCA
rnacentral:tmRNA from 1 species